rnacentral:rRNA from 1 species
CCUACGGGAGGCAGCAGUGAGGAAUAUUGGUCAAUGGACGAGAGUCUGAACCAGCCAAGUAGCGUAAAGGAUGACUGCCCUAUGGGUUGUAAACUUCUUUUAUAAAGGAAUAAAACGAGGCACGUGUGCCUUUUUGCAUGUACUUUAUGAAUAAGGAUCGGCUAACUCCGUGCCAGCAGCCGCGGUAAUACGGAGGAUCCGAGCGUUAUCCGGAUUGAUUGGGUUUAAAGGGAGCGUAGAUGGUUUGUUAAGUCAGUUGUGAAAGUUUGCGGCUCAACCGUAAAAUUGCAAUUGAUACUGGCAGUCUUGAGUACAGUUGAGGUAGGCGGAAUUCGUGGUGUAGCGGUGAAAUGCUUAGAUAUCACGAAGAACCCCGAUUGCGAAGGCAGCUUACUAAACUGUGACUGACAUUGAUGCUCGAAAGUGUGGGUAUCAAACAGGAUUAGAUACCCCGGUAGUC